AUACUUAUAUAUCAACCAGCAGAAGUAUGGACUUAUAAACCGUGUAACCCUUUCUAGCUAUUUACAUCUAAACCUAUAUAUUAAGUGAAUCAGCUUCUGCCAGCAACACCGCUCUCCGAAUCCUUACGAAGAGAAUGGGUACUAGAGAGGUGUACGAAGAGAAACUGAGGAAUGGAAAUCUCCACCACGAUCCAACCAUAAACCCUGGCCUUGGUUCUGCUCGUUGCCCUCGUUGUCUAUCUCUUCUCAAUCCUAAUUCCGAAAGAGGUGAAUGGACUAUUACUCCCGUCUUGCAUGAUGCCACUGCCGUCGUUGGCUCGGGGUUUGGCGGAAUGAUUAGUGCAGUUCAUGGUUUGAAUAGAGGGUUGCCAUAUCUUCAAAAUCGUCUGAAAGGACCGAAGUGGCUGCCUUUUCUUGUUGGGAUCCCUCCAUUGUUGAUAUUUUCAGGAGCAAGUGCUGCAUUUGGAGUUGUAGAGUUGCUUCAUGCUUCACAAAAUGAAGAAAAUUUUAGGGUUUGUCCCCUCUUUUUGUUUCUUGAAUCAUGUUCUAGAAUGGUGGCCAUGAUUGUAUGGUGUGGAAGGUUUUUUACAAAACUAGUUGGUUGGCCUUGUCGUUUCAACUUUUACGCGGCAGCUGCCGACCAGCAAUGGCUAUAUCUUGAAAGCUAUGAUGCAUAGGCACGGGUACGGUACCCGGUGCGGGUACCGGUACUGGUACGGGAUACGUCAUUUAAAAAAAAACAAGGUUAUGUGCUUCCAAAGUUUGCCCAACUCACAGUGACAUCCUAUUAUGCAAGCUCAAGUGCAUCCCACUAUGGAAUCUCACUUCCCACCCGGCAUAUUGAAGAGAACUACAAUUCCAAUAAUCAGCAUCUCAAGCGGCUGUGAUGAUCCC